UACGUAGGGACCGAGCGUUGUCCGGAUUCAUUGGGCGUAAAGAGCUCGUAGGCGGCUGUUCAAGUCGAACGUGAAAACUCGGAGCUCAACUCCGAGCCUGCGUUCGAUACUGGACGGCUAGAGUCUGGUAGGGGGAUCUGGAAUUCCUGGUGUAGCGGUGGAAUGCGCAGAUAUCAGGAGGAACACCGGUGGCGAAGGCGGUUCUCUGGGCAUUACCUGACGCUGAGGAGCGAAAGUGUGGGGAGCGAACAGG
rnacentral:rRNA from 1 species